rnacentral:rRNA from 1 species
GAUCAUGGCUCAGAAUGAACGUUGGCGGCGUGGAUUAGGCAUGCAAGUCGAGCGAGAAUUUGCGAUUGGAAGCUUCGGCCGAAGAAAGUGAAGGAAAGCGGCAAACGGCGUAGUAAGGCGUAGGUACGUACCCUCGGGUCGGGAAUAGCCAUGGGAAACUGUGGGUAAUGCCCGAUAAUCUCUGCGGAGCAAAGGUGUGAUUCCGCCGGAGGAGCGGCUUACGUGAUAUUAGCUAGUUGGUGGGGUAAUGGCCUACCAAGGCAACGAUGUCUAGGGGGUGUGAGAGCAUGGCCCCCACGACCGGAACUGAGACACUGUCCGGACACCUACGGGUGGCUGCAGUCGAGAAUCUUCCGCAAUGGGCGAAAACCUGACGGAGCGACGCCGCGUGGUGGAUGAAGGCCCUUGGGUUGUAAACACCUGUCAGAGGGGAUGAAAUCAUGGUUGGCAAUCCUUCCAUGUUGACAGAGCCUCAGAGGAAGCACGGGCUAAGUACGUG